UCCACGCCGUAAACGAUGUCUACUCGGAGUUUGGUGUCUUGAACACUGGGCUCUCAAGCUAACGUAUUAAGUAGACCGCCUGGGGAGUACGGCCGCAAGGUUAAAACUCAAAUGAAUUGACGGGGGCCCGCACAAGCGGUGGAGCAUGUGGUUUAAUUCGAUGCAACGCGAAGAACCUUACCUACUCUUGACAUCCACGGAAGACUGCAGAGAUGCGGUUGUGCCUUCGGGAACCGUGAGACAGGUGCUGCAUGGCUGUCGUCAGCUCGUGUUGUGAAAUGUUGGGUUAAGUCCCGCAAC
rnacentral:rRNA from 1 species